rnacentral:rRNA from 1 species
UAAGGAAUAUUGCUCAAUGGGAGAAAUCCUGAAGCAGCAACGCCGCGUGGAGGAUGAAGGGUCUAUGACUUGUAAACUCCUGUAAAGAAGGAAAAAAUUCCCAUUUGAUGGGAGAUGAUGGUACUUCUGGAGUAAGCCCCGGCUAACUACGUGCCAGCAGCCGCGGUAAUACGUAGGGGGCAAGCGUUGUCCGGAUUUACUGGGUGUAAAGGGUGCUCAGGCGGAUUUGUAAGUCAGAGGUGAAAUCUUACAGCUUAACUGUGAAACUGCCGUUGAUACGGCAAGCCUAGAGUAUGGAAGAGAGUGAUGGAAUAUCUGGUGUAGCAGUGAAAUGCUUAGAUAUCAGAUAGAACACCCAUGGCGAAGGCAGUCACUUGGUCCAGUACUGACGCUAAAGCACGAAAGCGUGGGUAGCAAACA